AACACAUCAGAGCAAUUUCCCAAAGGAAGCACUUGCGCACUGGAUUCUGUGCUGGAUCUCACUGUUGAUUUUUUUUAUUGGCUCGCUCUGUUUCUGCUUGCUGUCGGAGCUGGAGGGGCUCAGAGUCAGGACACCGGAAUAUGCCCCCUGCACCUGCUCAUCGGCCUGGACAUCACUGAUUGCCAACAGUCCAGCCUGCACCAGUACCUGGAGGGCAUCAUCUGGGAGCUGUUCUCCCUGACCAGGAUCAGCUGCGCCCAGCUCAACGUUACCCUGAGCAUCCAGAGCGUGGACCAGGGCGGCGAGGUCCUCUUCCGAGCCCACCUCGCCAAGUACCAGCACGACGUCUUGCAGCAGCUGCGCGUGGUGCAUGCCUUCAGGCGCACCUACCUGAACCAGCCCUCCCUGCACAGACUGCUGGAGAUGAACCGAGGCCUGCCAGAGAGUAACAAGGUGGUGCUCCUGUUUACAGAUGGGUUGGACGAUGAUGUGAGGAAGCUGGAAGAGAUGUCAGCCGCUCUGCGGGUGCAAGG